rnacentral:rRNA from 1 species
UACGAAGGGGGGCUAGCGUUGCUCGGAAUCACUGGGCGUAAAGGGCGCGUAGGCGGCCUGAUAAGUCGGGGGUGAAAGCCUGUGGCUCAACCACAGAAUUGCCUUCGAUACUGUUGGGCUUGAGACCGGAAGAGGUAAGUGGAACUGCGAGUGUAGAGGUGAAAUUCGUAGAUAUUCGCAAGAACACCAGUGGCGAAGGCGGCUUACUGGUCCGGAUCUGACGCUGAG